GAGAGAGAGAGGGGGGAUUAGAAGAUUGAGAAAAAGAACAAAGACGUGGAUAUACGCAUAUAUAUACUUUUGAUGAAGCCGCAAGCUGAGGUUCGACUCUUCUCAGAGAACGAUACUCUCUUCAACCUGAAACAAUUUCGUAUCUACUUGAGUUUAUUGGCCUGGAAUGACCCAGUUAUUUAUCAGAAAAAUUUGGGCCAUUCGUAUUACCCGCCACGAUGAAAGUAUCGGCGUGGAAAGUAAAUCUGCUUCUUAGAUUCACGCCUGAUCUUAUAUAUCAUCGGCAAUCGGUGUUCGCGUGUCGUUAUUCCGAUCGCGACUCUGUCUGGAAUUAAUGGCCGAAGUUAGCCGCUGGUGCGGGUCGCCCACACGAAAUCUAAAGUUCACUAUCAUUCAACUUGCCGGACUAUGGUUGCGGCACGUAUCCGCUAUACACAGAUAGCCGGUAGGUGUAUCAAUGAACAGUGAGUUCGUAAAGCCGAUCCCUUUGCGGUCAGGUACGUAUACACAGUAACUUUGAAGGUGUCCCAUACCGAUCGGAUCGGCCCUAAUAUUUAAAGUGAAAGAUGGACAGUCGAUUAUGGUACGAGCAUGAAUAUUUAUACGUCAAGAUAUAACGUAUAAUGAUCUUCUCAGACAGUGAGAAAGCGUUCGAGAAAAAUAUUUCGAAAUAUAAUUUAAAUAUGCGUGGGAGUAUCAAGGGCUCCUGUACUCUGUAAUCGGGUGCCUCUAUCGAGGAGCGUGGAAGGUAUUGAUAAAUGUAGAAAACUUUUUGAUUCUGCCCCGAGGGAAGCCAUGGACUAGAGAUAGAAGAAGAACAAAAAAAUCUAUAAAACAAAGAAGGACCAGGAGAGAAUUUUUCAUGAAGACCAAGGAGGCCGAUUGGACGUGCUCUCAAUUCGAAAUUAAAUGGCCGCGUGGGAAGAAGCCAUUGAGAGCGGCUCUCUUGGAAUGGCCCGUGCAAUUUCUAUGCAUAAGAGAGACGGACUCGUGGACUCUGGUUGGUUGUAGGUGCAGGUGUCUGAGGUUCGCAUCUUCGGCGCAUGCGCAGAUCGGGAAUUCGCUAUACUAGAACUGGGCGCUAGUCCAGUACGGCUAAAACAAAAGGAAGAUGACAGCUGAAGUAAUGAGGAUACAGUUUACUCCUAAUAAGAAGAUACGCAUCAUAUUUUAUGUGCAAAGUCCCGCAGCUUCCUUCUACGGUUGCGCCCUUUUGCAAUAACCUGUUGCCUCGUACAGGUCCUGCGUAUCGGCGCCCAUUAAGAAAUACGUUAACGCAUGACAGACCAAGCUGCUGCAGGUGCAUUGAAAUUGUGGAUGCAGCUAGAAUGCUUGACAGUGGGAUUCAUGGAAUUAUUUUGCAUAUAUUUUUUUAGAGAGAGAGAGAGAGAGAGAAGAGCAUAAAGGCUUUGCUGGCAUGGACUAUAUCUAAAGGAAUAAUGUCUUUGGCUUGAUGGGAUUGACUGUACCUUGGUGUAUCUAUCGGUUAACGAUUCAAGGAGCAAACUGCAUACCGUAAAGCCGACGCCAACUGAUUACCGAGCUACGUAGUGGCCUGUCCAAAGAGAGGAGCAAUAAGAUGGCAUGAAAGGCGAAUGAUAAUAACUAUGACGGAACGAGAGGAAUCUUCGAGGAAAGAACCUAAUUCCCUGGAGCGGGCAUAACCUUUGACACGUUGGGAAUACCCUGGCGAAACCUUUCUGUGGUCUUGAGGGACUUCGGUGUUAACCCCGUUUACGAUUUUAACGCCGCCAUUUUGAUUCCCGGCGAUCGUUCGAUGAAAGUCAAGCGAAUCUCGGGAGGAAGCAAAAGAAAGAUAGGAAGGAUCGUAUGCGAAGGAAAGGAUACUUCAACCGUUUCGUGUAUUCGACUCGAGUGUAUAUUCUUACAGUUGUUGCAGCUAAGAGCAAAAGCGUGUUAGGCUUUCUGGUGCCGGCAAGAGUAACGCCUGGCUAGCAGUAGAAAACCGACAAGAGGGACAAACUCUUUCCAGGAGCAAUGACGUCAAAUAUUUAUCCGUCCACGUAUACGCGUUAACGCCGCUAAUGGCACGGGAACGAAAAGGAUGAGAAAAUGUUCCUAAUAUCGAUUUUCAUAAUUUUUCGGUUUACGAAAUCGUUGACGCUGUUGUUCAGAAAUGAUCAGCGAACAAUUAACGAGCUAUGGGUAAAUCCUGAUUUCUUUCUUAAUUAAGUCCUUGCUUGUGCCUGCGGUACCCUAAGGCAGGUUUACAACGAACAGUUAGGCCUCGUGGUAGUCGGAAGAGACGAGGGAGAGAGAAGGAGCAGAGGAUCGAGCGAGAAGCAAGAGACCAAAGCAAUUUCCAGGAACAAGCAGCCAAGCUAUACUACGUAUAGUUAAACUCUAUCUCGACGGCAGCUCGUCCCAAGGCGAUAAGAUAAAGAGUCCUGGGCUGCUCGUGGCUAUGACGGUUACCUGUGUAAAGCGCAGUAGAGAUGCAUACAUAUGUGAAGUUUACUAUGCAACCAGCAUAUGUUUAUCCGAGAGGUUCAAGUACCUUUGCUGCUUAAGGUGCCAGUGGUGCUUGAAUAAAGUGCAUUGUUCCCUGCUGGCUAAUGCUGCCAUUUCUGUUACCAACCUGAACCCAGUGCAAUGGGGAAACGGUCGGUAAUCAGUUUACGUUGGGUUUUAUAGAAAUUAUUUUUUCAAAUCCAACAUUUUAAUCUUACCCAAUCACCUUUCUUUUUAUUGGCAUUACUGGUCACACGGUGCUUCGUGCACGUAGGAAAUAAAUUUUAAUAUAAAUUGUUUUAUUACUAUAACGCAUUCAUUCAGGUACCUCUUAUCCAGAGGAUUGGCGGAUGACUCUGAUAAAAGAAAGAGAGAGGAGACACCAUGCUUGACGCAUGAGUUAUUGCAGUGGUGGUGGUUAGCGUUAAUUUUGAGGUAGGUAAUAUAUUGCGAAAAUCAGGCCUGCCUCCUGCAUCCAUUGCGAGCACUUGAGCUAGACAAAGGACGCCAUCGGCGGGACGUAAAUCAUAUUAGAGAAGUCACCCAGGACCCUCUUCUUCCUUCUUUGGUUACCAUGGGAUCCUUAUGUGGGACCACACAAGGAGCUUCCCAUACAGAGUUUCUAGCGGAUCUGUAUAGCAUAUAACAACAAGACAGACUAUACCGUACAGUAUAUACUGGUACUAUACUAAAUACAUAUACUACCAGGGUAGACACAAGCCUGAUCGUAGGACACAAGUGUUUACGUAGUAAUAAGAUAUAAAGUUACUGACUAUACUAUUUUAAAUAACACUAUUCAAUUUUUUUUAUCAGAUAAUGCACCUUCGACAAUUUGAAAGCGUCCACGAGUGUCUUAAAUAAAUAUUCCAGAUGUCUUGUACAUGACAAUCCGUGACCUGGGACAAUAUGGAAAAAGCUUGGCUAAGAUCAACUCACAGUGGUCCAUUCGGUUCUUCGAUUAUCCGAUGAUCCCAACUGCUCCAGUACCAUUUUCCUAGACGUCUUGAGAUCACAUCACGUAUUUAAAUUUUUUUAAAUUAAUAAACAGACUUUAUUAAUAUUAGUAUUGUUCGUAGACACUGAUCCGGAUCGAAAUUUUGUUUAAGGUAUUUAAUUCCUAUUUCUUUUUUUAAUAAUAUUACUGUGAUCUACCACCAGAACGGUGAGAGCGGUUCGGAUGCUGCGACCGAGAAGGAGUCACUACUGAUGCUGGACCGUUCACGGUUAAGAUGUGUACCGACUUCAUUGGCCCCUCCUACUACCUCAGGAAGACUCUUACGACUCCGGUUACCUGCACGCUCGAUUUUCAAAACCUCCACUCAAGCCCUACACAAUCUGGAUAAUUGUAAUGAGACAAAUAAACCAGCCCUCACACUCGGUCUCAGUCAAGACCCCAAGAUCUGAUUGUCACAGAAGAAAAUGAAUCUCAUGAAAGCAUCUGUGAAAAUGA